UAAAGGGUGCGUAGGUGGGCAAGUAAGUCAGUGGUGAAAUCUCUGGGCUUAACCCGGAAACUGCCAUUGAUACUAUUUGUCUUGAAUUCUCUGGAGGUAAGCGGAAUAUGUCAUGUAGCGGUGAAAUGCUUAGAUAUGACAUAGAACACCCAUUGCGAAGGCAGCUUACUACGGAGACAUUGACACUGAGGCACGAAAGCGUGGGGAUCAAACAGGAUUAGAUACCCUGGUAGUCCACGCCCUAAACUAUGUCAACUAGUUGUCGGGGAAGAAAUUCCUUGGUAACGAAGCUAACGCGUGAAGUUGACCGCCUGGGGAGUACGGCCGCAAGGUUAAAACUCAAAGGAAUUGACGGGGACCCGCACAAGCGGUGGAUUAUGUGGAUUAAUUCGAUGCAACGCGAAAAACCUUACCUACCCUUGACAUGUACGGAACCUCGCAGAGAUGUGAGGGUGCCCGAAAGGGAGCCGUAACACAGGUGCUGCAUGGCUGUCGUCAGCUCGUGUCGUGAGAUGUUGGGUUAAGUCCCGCAACGAGCGCAACCCUUGCCAUUAGUUGCUACAUUCAGUUGGGCACUCUAAUGGGACUGCCGGUGACAAACCGGAGGAAGGUGGGGAUGACGUCAAGUCCUCAUGGCCCUUAUGGGUAGGGCUUCACACGUAAUACAAUGGCAGGUACAGAGGGACGCCAACCCGCGAGGGGGAGCCAAUCCCAGAAAGCCUGUCGUAGUCCGGAUUGUAGUCUGCAACUCGACUACAUGAAGCUGGAAUCGCUAGUAAUCGCG
rnacentral:rRNA from 1 species